GUUUACUGUGGGACAAAAAGUAUUAAAUGAAGCAUUAAUCCAUGUCUUGAGGAUCUGAAAUUGUCUAAGCAGCUAUAACGUAUUAGAAUACACAACUCCACCACAUAUACUGUCACCAUGUUGGACCUGUGGUAUCUUGAGAUGAGGUUGUACUUUUCCAUACAGUGUAAUUCUUGCAGAAUGUUUCCUCAAUUCUACCUUCGUAUUUGGUUAAUUUCCCUCUCAAUGUCUAUCCAUGAGGAUCCCAACUAGAAUGCUGAAGUCAUGCCUGAAAUCUCCCUUUUCCCUACUGUAUUAGAUCAAUCGCUAAAUAUAUAUGAAUCUAUUAUACCAAACAACUGUGUUACUCUAUAUUGAUAAAAGUACUAUGUGAAAAAUAAUCAGAUACUCAAUCAUGUUAAAUGAUUUCUGAAAAUAAUGAAUGUGUAUCGAAUAUUGUCCAAAUAUUCUAAAAAUCACAAAAAAAGAGGAAAACACCUUCUGAUUGUGACAUCAAACUCAAGACUGAAAUGAAC